AAGGGUAUAGCUCAAGUGGUAGAGUGCAUGUUUAGCAUGAAUGAGGUCCUGGGUUCUAUCCCCAGUACCUCCU
rnacentral:tRNA from 1 species